rnacentral:rRNA from 1 species
AUGGCUUUGAUUUGCCGGGUACUACCAGCCUUUCUUGUGGUGCUCGCAGCACUCGCCACCCCCUCCAACUCCCACGGUGACGGUAAACUCACUCUCCCAUGCCAUCCAGACCAGGCUGCAACCCUCCUCCAACUAAAGAAAUCCUUCUCAUUCCUCCGUUACCCCAACCCCCUUGAGUCAUGGCAGGAUGGUACCGACUGUUGUCUUUGGGAAGGUGUCGGCUGCAGCAAUUCCUCGGGCCGUGUCACUGCUUUGGAACUCGGUGGGUGUGGCUUGUGUAGUCAGGGCCUUGACCCUGCAAUCUUCGACCUCACCUCGCUCCAAGUACUUGACCUUAGCAUGAACAAUUUUGGCCCGUACAGUCUCCCGGCAAAUGGGUUUGAGAGGCUCGCUUCGCUCACCCACCUCAACCUCUCCUAUUCAGGCUUCGUUGGCCAAAUACCUACUGGCAUCGGCAAACUUGCCAACCUUAUCUCCUUGGAUCUUUCUAAUAACUAUGGUUCCGGUUCCGAGGAUUCUUUUUGUAGCCAUGUUACAAAAACCCAUGAUUUUUUUCAGACCGAGCUGGAGGUACUGAACUUUGAGAUCUUAGUGGCUAACCUCAGCAGUCUGAGAGAGCUCUACCUUGAUGAAGUGGAUAUGUCUAGCAGCAGAGACUGGUGCCAUGCUCUUGCUAAAUCUCUUCCCCAUCUCCGAGUUCUUAGCUUGAGUUUUUGUGGCCUCAGCGGCCCUAUCUGUCCAUCCCUCUCAGCCCUCCACUCUCUAACCAUGAUCAAUCUUGAAGGGAACUUUGAUAUACCUGCUCCUUUUCCAGUGUUGUUCAUGGAUUUUCUCAAUUUAAGUGUGUUCCAACUUGCUGGGACAAAUCUCCAAGGGCACAUGCCCAACUUCUCCAACACAAGUUCUUUAGAGACAAUGAUGCUAGAUGGGACCAAUUUGUCCUUUGGAAAAACAGGCUCUUUUAGCAAUUUCAAGUCUUUGCAAACGUUAAGCCUUGAUGUGAAUUUUGCUUUUAUGGAGCAUCAAUCUUCACUCGGUAUUCACAAGUCUUUACGACAUCUGGAACUCACCCUGACAGACUCGACAAAAGAUUUGGGGCUAAUUUUGUCAUCGAUCGGAGACCUGCAGAACUUGGCAAGCUUAGAACUGAGAGGAUGGAACUUCUCUUGGAAAUCUUUUUCUUCAGUAGCCAAACUCAAGAACUUGAGAAGCCUGUCAAUGUAUUACUGCAGUUUCACCAAGCCAUCACUGCCGGCAAUUGGUAAUCUAGUAAAUUUGAGAAGCUUGGUGAUUCAUCAGUGCGAAUUGAAUGGUCCAAUGCCAUCUGCAAUUGGCAACCUCGCAGACUUGGAAAGCUUGGAAAUAACUGAUUAUGAUUUCUUAGGGCCAAUACCAUCUGCAAUUGGCAAUCUCAGAAGCUUGAAAAGCUUGGAAAUUAAUGCUCAUGGUUUAUUAGGUCCAAUACCAUCUUCAAUUGGCAACCUUAGUAGCUUGAUAAGUUUGGCAAUUUCUACUUCUGAGUUUUCUGGGCCAAUGCCACCUGCAAUAUGCAAUCUUAGUAAUUUGGAGGCUUUGGAGAUGAGCAAUUCUGGGUUUUCUGGGCCAAUACCCUAUGCAGUUGGACUACUCAAGAAAUUGACAUCACUACGGCUUCAAGAGUCUAGCUUUUCUGGAAGCAUACCGGAUUCAAUAUUUAAUUUGACUCGCCUAAUUGAGUUAGAUCUUUCAUUUAAUCUUCUUAGUGGUAAGACUAUUUUCUAUAUUCUUAUAAUGAUUACUUGA